rnacentral:tRNA from 1 species
GCCGAAGUGGUGGAAUUGGCAGACGCGCUGGACUCAAAAUCCUGUGGUAGCAAUACCGUGUGGGUUCAAGUCCCACCUUCGGCACCA